rnacentral:rRNA from 1 species
GUGCCAGCCGCCGCGGUAAUACAGAGGGUGCAAGCGUUAAUCGGAAUUACUGGGCGUAAAGCGCGCGUAGGUGGUUUGUUAAGUUGGAUGUGAAAUCCCCGGGCUCAACCUGGGAACUGCAUCCAAAACUGGCAAGCUAGAGUAUGGUAGAGGGUGGUGGAAUUUCCUGUGUAGCGGUGAAAUGCGUAGAUAUAGGAAGGAACACCAGUGGCGAAGGCGACCACCUGGACUGAUACUGACACUGAGGUGCGAAAGCGUGGGGAGCAAACAGGAUUAGAUACCCCAGUAGUCC